rnacentral:rRNA from 1 species
UACGAAGGGGGCUAGCGUUGCUCGGAAUUACUGGGCGUAAAGCGCACGUAGGCGGCUCUUUAAGUCGGGGGUGAAAUCCUGGAGCUCAACCCCAGAACUGCCUUCGAUACUGUAGAGCUUGAGUUCGGGAGAGGUGAGUGGAACUGCGAGUGUAGAGGUGAAAUUCGUAGAUAUUCGCAAGAACACCAGUGGCGAAGGCGGCUCACUGGCCCGAUACUGACGCUGAGGUGCGAAAGCGUGGGGAGCAAACAGG